UGUAACUGCCCUUCAUCUCUCCCUCUCUUGCACGUAACAAAAUGGUUUUGUUACAUAUAUAUAGAGAGAGAGAGGGAAUUAGGGUUUCCAUGGGUGAAAAACUUCUUUGAAAGGUUGCUUUGCUAAAAGUCUCGAAAAAAAUGUCUUCCAUUUCCAAUAAAGAUCCCUCACAUCCUUUAUACUUGUCCAGAGCUUUGCAAAAAGUCUCUACAAAAUCUCUUCCCUUCUCAAAAUAAAGAUCCCACACAUCCUUGAUACUUAUCCAGAUAGAAUAGCAAGGUCGUCGGGUGGUGGUCUCCAAUGGGUUGGAAGGAUUUUGUUGUUCGUGCAGAAAAGUAUUGGGCUUCAAGUUUUUGGAGAGCAGUUUGGACUUCAAGCCCAAAUAUUUAAGAAGUUAGAGACAUGAAUUUGAUGGUAUACCUUGAAGCUGGAGGUGUGGUCGCAUUGCUUAAGACAUUGUCUUCAGAGAUCCAAUUCCUUGGGAGGUGAAGAUUUGAAGAUGAUGGCAGCUCAUCUUGCAGAUUCAAUCUUGGCUGUUAUAAAAAAUAUAUUUAUAUAAUAUACCAAAUAAAAAAGAUGAAUUUAUAAUAUUAAUUUUCUCUCCCUUUUUAUAAGAUAAGGGACUUAUUUUAGAGUAGUCUUGAGCUUAGAAUAGAGAAUUCCACGAAAAUAUAACUUUACAUUUCGAAGGAUUGGAGUACAAAGGAGAGUUUGAGAUCAAGUAAAGUUAGAGCUAAAAGGUAUGAUCAUAAUAUUUUUGUGCCUUGUGUUGAAACACUAUUAUUAGCUGUCUCGACAUUGCAAAUUCUUUCCCCUCUGAUAUACCACAUGACUGAAGUGUAGAACAUUAACUUUGAAUAGGAAGAAAAUAUUUUAAUUCUUGGUA